AUGCAAGUCGAGCGGUAACAUUUCUAGCUUGCUAGAAGAUGACGAGCGGCGGACGGGUGAGUAACGCGUAGGAAUCUGCCUAGUAGUGGGGGACAACAUGUGGAAACGCAUGCUAAUACCGCAUACGCCCUACGGGGGAAAGGAGGGGAUCUUCGGACCUUUCGCUAUUAGAUGAGCCUGCGUGAGAUUAGCUAGUUGGUGGGGUAAAGGCCUACCAAGGCGACGAUCUCUAGCUGGUCUGAGAGGAUGAUCAGCCACACUGGGACUGAGACACGGCCCAGACUCCUACGGGAGGCAGCAGUGGGGAAUAUUGGACAAUGGGCGCAAGCCUGAUCCAGCCAUGCCGCGUGUGUGAAGAAGGCCUUAGGGUUGUAAAGCACUUUCAGGAGUGAGGAAGGGUAUGCAGUUAAUACCUGUAUAUUUAGACGUUAACUCCAGAAGAAGCACCGGCUAACUCUGUGCCAGCAGCCGCGGUAAUACAGAGGGUGCGAGCGUUAAUCGGAAUUACUGGGCGUAAAGCGCGCGUAGGCGGUUUGUUAAGUCGGAUGUGAAAUCCCAGGGCUCAACCUUGGAAUGGCACCCGAUAC
rnacentral:rRNA from 1 species